GACGAACGCUGGCGGCGUGCCUAAUACAUGCAAGUCGAACGCAGUGGGGACGGGUGAGUAACACGUGGGUAACCUCCCAUCAGAGGGGAUAACACUUGGAAACAGGUGCUAAACCGAUACUGAUGGAUGGACCCGCGGUGCAUUAGCUAGUUGGUGAGGUAACGGCUCACCAAGGCCACGAUGCAUAGCCGUCCGUGGGGGUGGAUCGGCCACACGGGGCCUGAGACAGGGCCCAGACUCCUACGGGGGGAAGCAGUAGGGAAUUUUGGGCAAUGGACGAAAGUCUGACCGAGCAACGCCGCGUGAGGGAAGAAGGUUUUCGGACCGAAAACCUUUGUUGUUAGAGAAGCGGUAUCUAACCAGAAAGCCACGGCUAACUACGGGCCAGCAGCCGCGGUAAUUC
rnacentral:rRNA from 1 species